CGAACGGGUGAGUAACACGUGAGGAACCUGCCCCGAAGACCGGGAUAACAGCGGGAAACCGCUGCUAAUACCGGAUGUCCCCACCGGACCGCAUGAUCUGGUGAGGAAAUGGAUUCCGCUUCGGGAGGGUCUCGCGGCCUAUCAGCUUGUUGGUGGGGUAACGGCCUACCAAGGCGACGAUCGGUAGCUGGUCUGAGAGGGCGACCGGCCACACUGGGACUGAGACACGGCCCAG
rnacentral:rRNA from 1 species